rnacentral:tRNA from 1 species
UGGGGCGUGGCGUAACGGUAGCGCCCGGGUCUUUGGAACCCGUGGUCCAGGUUCGAAUCCUGGCGCCCCAGCCA